GUGGUGUGGACUUUUUUUCUUUUAUGCAAGUUUUACUGAGAAGAAAAGAGGCAAAUAAACAGUAGGAGACUAUCUAACAAGAAGAUGAGUUCUUUCCACAAGAGGAUCAUGUUAUGAAUGCUCAGUCCCCAGCUUGUGGUACUGUUUUGAAGUUUGUGGAGUCUUUAGGAUAUAUGACCCAGCGGGUAGAAGUGGAUCACUAGGGUGAACCUUUGAAGCUGUUCCCAGUUUUGGCUUCAGCCUGUUUUCUCUGCUUCUGGUCCACAACAAGUGAAGAUCUGCUGCCACACUCAGAAGUUCUUCCUACAUCACGCCUUCCCUGCCAUGACAGGUUGAAAUCCCUCUGAAACCGUGAGACAAAAUAACCUUUUCUUCCUUUAAGUUGUGACUCUCAGGUGUUUGGUUAUGGCAAUGGGAAAGUAGCUAAUACAUAAGAAAUAUGAGUAUGGGAGAAUGAAAAGAUCCAGGAUGAAUGAUUUAUAUCUAGAGAGACUGCAAAAAUACAGGUGGAAAGAACAGUCAGACAUUACCAGGUUCAUUUUAAUGCUGUACCAUCAUUUGAUAAUGCCUGACAACUGGUCCAGACUGUCUUCAAUCUGCUACUUAUGGGCCUACUCAUUGUUCUGUAAAUAAACAUAAUGUAUCAUUUGUACCAGGGUGUGAACAAAAGU